rnacentral:misc_RNA from 1 species
ACAUGUUUGAUUGAGUUGU